rnacentral:tRNA from 1 species
CGCAAAAUGGCUGAAUUAAUAGGCGGUUGGUUGUAAACCUUCUUAUGGGUUUUCUCUUUUGUGA